GUGCUCACUUCAGCAGCACAUAAACUAAAAUUGGAAUGAUACAAAGAUUAGCCUGGCCCCGGAACAAGGAUGUUAUGCACACUCAUAAAGUAUUCCAUAUUUUG